rnacentral:lncRNA from 1 species
UGGAUCUCCUAUGUGAGUCUCUGGCCUCCUCUCAGGCCUCAUCCCUUUUAGCUUUCCAGCCUUUACUCAGGCUGUGCUGAAUGCUGUCCUUAUCCUGACUUCUCUACCUCUCCAACCUUUCCUUCCCAUUUCUUUGACUACCCCAGACUCCCAGAUAGCUGCCUGUGGAGUCUUGGCUAUUUCUUGUUUGUGACUUGAGCACAGAGCUAGGCUGUAACAAGGCUGCAAGGGAACAAGUACUGUUUCUUCUUCCCAAACAGUGAACUCCCCUGAGGAUCUUCUGAAUAGCUCACCACCACUUCAGUUGGGGUAGGAUGCACCCAGACAUCUUUUGCUUAUUACAAGGCAAGAAAGGUAAACUGAGUCAUAAAAUGUUUGAUGUGGAAAGGAACAACAUUUAUUGAGCUCUUAUCGGGUGCUAGACCCAGUUCUAAGGUCUUAACCCUCAGUAAUCCCUGUGGCCACCCUGUUAGGUGGAUGGGGGCUGAGCUCACUGGACAGAUGGGGUAACGGGAGGCACACAGAGGUUACGACACUAACCAGAUAGAGGCUCCAGAUCCUGGAGCUGAAAAAACCCUUGUUUGGGGUCUUAAGACCAGAAUGGGACCCAGAUCAUCCCCCUGAGUCAACCCUGGGUGGAGGAAACCGUCUACUCCACACUGACUGUACAAGUCAGGCAUCAGGGGAUGGGAGACCCUGACAUUUAGAGCCUUAAAAAGACCUUCUACACUGUUUAGUAUGGUCAGUUUGAGGUCAUAUAAGGAGAAUCAGGAGAUUCCCUCAAGCCCCGUCCUCUCUUCUUGAACCAUAGUUUCUCAAUCUGUAAAAUAGGACCGAGUUCUGGAAAUUCUUUUCUCAGUCGGCCAGCAGGUGGAGCCCACUCUUCAUGCCUUCCUCAGCCUCCAGAAAGCUGCGGCGUCCCGGGGAGGAGGGUGUGUUCUGGGGCUGAUCCCUCUGGACUUCUGGGACAAAGCAGGAUCGCUGCUCAGCCCCAGCCCGGCAGAGCGGCCCAGGAGCCCCGGGUGACUGCCCCGGACUUCAGGGCCCGGCUUCGCUUUCCCCCUGCAGGACACUCCAGGUACUGCAUGGCCCCGGGCCCCAAGGGCAGGGAGCGAGACCCUGGAGUGAAGACCCCCCGGCCCCGCCAGGUGUGAUGGGGGGGCCCUGGGGAUAGGGUCCCCGAAGCAAAGCUGAGACUCAGAGGUGGGCUGCUGAGCCACGCCGUCCGCAGGGGCGGUGGCUACAGGUAGUUGUCUUCUGCGGCGUCGCUCCCGCCCCUGGAGCCCCGGGGCUCAUCCUCGUCGUCGUCGUCGUCAUCGGGGGCCAGCGCCUCGAUGUCGUGCGUGAUGUCAGCCAGCAGCCGGUGGAAGGCCUGUGCCUCGGGCCGCUGCGCCGCGCCAUCGUAGCUGCGCACUGCGGAGGCCGACGUGGAGCUCAUGCUGCGCUUGAUGCGGCCGAAGCUGUCAGUGAGGAUGCCGCCCUCGCGGAUGCCCACGCCCUCCAGGAAGCCCUCGAAGUAGCCGAUGUCCUGGUCCGGGAUGAAGGGCCGCAUCCCUGCGAGCCGAGGGGCAUGCCUCCAGGCUUUUGCUUGUGCCAUUCCCACCACCGGCCCCAGCUCACCGUGACCAUGUAAUCCUGUAACUGCUCCAAGCCCAGACUGCUGUGGUCGCUGCCGCUGCAGUGGGAGCCAUGGAAAGAAGGUGUGGACGUGCCGCUGUAACAUGCUUCAAAGGUGUCCUGGGAGCCAUUACUGCAGGCACGGGAAGAAGGGCCUUCACUCGCCUCCCUCCAGCUCCUGGCCCUCAGGCAGGCUGAAGGUAGGAGGCCUCAUCCUAGACUGCAUGCUGGCCUCCAAGGCCUCGCAUACCCUGGCCCCUGGCACCUCUCAAGUCUCAUCUGUCACUGUGCUUGCCUUUGCCUUUGCUCUUUGUGCUUCGCGCCCCCCACCCCCCUUCUCCUUCUUCCUCUACUAUCUCCUCACCUCUGGGUGUUUGCACCUGCUGGUCCCUCUGCCUGGAUUGCCUCCUUUCCCCUCCCUUUUGCACAGCUAACUCUUACUCAUCCCGUGAUCUUAAAUGUCAUCUCCUCAGGAGAGUGUUCCCUAAUUCCCCUAGGUUGGGUUAGAACCUCUGUCGAACAUGCUCCCUCAGUCCAUGGCCUACCUGUGACAUGCAUGGCCUUUCCAGGUACCCCCAAGCAUCCUCUCUGACCACUCUCUCCCUCACACCAUUUGCCACAGCCACAGUGGCCACCUGCUGCCCCUCAAACCCACUAAGCUCUAUCCUGUUCAAAAUUUUUUUUUUUUUUUUUUGAGACAGAUUCUUGCUCUGUCACUGAGGCUGGAGUGCAGUGGUGCGGUCUUGGCUCACUGCAGCCUCCGCCUCCCGGGUUCAAGCAAUUUUCAUGCCUCAGCCUCCUGAGUAGCUGGGACUACAAGCAUGUGCCACCCAGCCAAUUUUUGUAUUUUUAGUAGAGACAGGGUUUCACCAUGUUUGUCCAGGCUGCUCUCAAAUGCCUCACCUCAAGCAAUCUGCCCACCUCAGCCUCCCAAAAUGCUGGGAUUACAGGCGUGAGCCACCACGCCUGGUUAGUUCAGGAUUCUUACAUUUGCUGUUCCCUCUACCUGGAACACUCUUCCCCCUUUCAUCCUCCAAGCCUCAGUUCAUGUGCCAUCACCUCUGAGAGGCCCUCCUGACUCUCCAGCUGAGUUGCGGUCCCCCUCUGCCUCUCUUAUAGCACCCUGAGCCUCCCUUUAGUACUUAUUACCAUUAAUGAUUGUUACUGUUAAAUUGCGAUUUCAUUGCCUCCUAUCCUAGACUGUAAACUUGACAAGAGCAGGGACUUUGGUUUUCUUCAUUUGUUGAACACCUACUAUGUGCCAGGCCCAGGUUUUGCCCUCUGUCUUGUGUCCAUCUGUAUCCCCAGCACACAGCAGAGUGCCUGGCACAUAGGAGGUACUCAAGAAAUAUUGCUUAAUAAAAACUCAACCUUAGGCUCCUGCCUCCUUGUCUCUAAAUUGUUCCAGAACCAUCCUCCAUUAUUACCUACAAAGAAGCCGUGUAGCUUUGUGGUUAAAGGACUGGAUUCUGGAGCCAGCCUUCUUCUGUUCAAAUCCCAUACUUACAACUUACUAGGUGCUUG